ensembl:snRNA U6 U6 spliceosomal RNA
CUGCUUGCUUCAGCAGUACAUCUACUGAAAACAGAAUAAUAGAUUAUUAGCAUGGCCCUGUGCAAGGAUGACACACACAUUUGUGAAGCACUCCUAAUUUUU